UAACACUGUAUCAUUAUGAGUUCAUUUAUUGUGACGUAUACACCAUACCAACGUUAAGAUGUUAAUAAUGGGGGAAACUAGGUGUGGGGUUUACAGGCUCUGUGUACAAGCUCUACAGUUUUUCUAUAAAUCUAAUUAUGCCCUAAAAUAAAAAAAUCAUUUUAAAGAAAGUCAGGAAAGAACUCCAUAAUUGCUGGGCUAAAAUAUUGCACGCUGCAAGGAGGUGCCAUUCGUCACGACAUAGGAUAAGUUCAGUCCCAAAACCUAGGUCCCAUUUUUAACUUCAGACCAUUCAUAUCGUAGUUCCCUGCUUUGCCAAUUAUUUGUCAGACUCUUAUAUCAAUGUAAUUCGCCCCCAAAUAUCAUAGAGAAUACUAUAUAAUACAAAAUAUAAAUAUAUAAAAUACAAAAUAAUCCUAUAACAUAAACAAAUAGAAUUACAAUAAUUUUUCAUGAGUUCCAGUAAAGGAACUCAAACAAGAUUUUGAAAGCUCUGUCAGAUUUUUUUUAACAACCAAACCAAAAUUUUAAGUGCAUAAAAAUUCACUUAAAAAAUUAGUGUGCAUAGGUUCAACUCUCCAACAUUUUUAAAACAAAAACAUUUUGAAGAGCUCUUACCCUACCUCUUUUCCAUUUUGUUUUUAUUUCUUUUUCCUAUGCCAUUUUUGGAUUUCAGCUUUAGUAGCAGAUUCCCAACAACAAAUUAUUUGAAUCAUGAAACUAAACAUCUUCAAGAGAAGAGCAAAAAAAUAAUUCUGCUGGCAGUUUACAAAGCUGCUUUCCCUGGAUUCUCGCAGCAGCCUUGUGACGCUGGGGUGAGGGGAGAUAUUCCCCAUUCUGCACAUAAGGAAACUGAGGCACAGAGAGGUUGAGGGAGGACAAGAGGUGAGCCAGGUUUUCUGGUGCCAACUGCAUCCCUUUUCACUAUGCUGCAUAUCUUGGUCAUCGAGGACUGCCGUACAAAAUUUAAGACUGGGGGGCAGAAAGAACAGUUUAUUUCUCGAAGUUCUGGAGGCCAAAGUCCAAGACGAGGCUGCCGGCCGCCUCGGUGUCUGCUGAGCGCUGUCUCCGGGAGCUGCAGACAGCUGUCUGCUCGCUGUGUCCUCACGUGGUCUUUCCUCAGGUGGAGGGGGAGGGAGAGGCAUCAAGCUUUUGGCGUCUCUUUUUACAAGGGCGCUAGUCCCAUCAAGAAAGGCUCUACCUUCGUGGCCUCAUCUGGACCCAGUGACCUCCCCAAGGUCCCGUCUCCAGUUGCCAUCUCACUGGGGACCAGCGGCUUCAACAUGUGAACUCGAUGGAGAGACAAUUCAGUCCACAGCACAACGGCACUUACCCUUUGGAAAUUUUAUCCUUUCUUCACAACUCUUCUGCAUGUACGAGAGACCGCCAACUCAGACACGGGCCCACCCAAAGGGCACCAAGUUAAUGGUGCUGGAAGUGACGCCUGCACUGACAGGCCUUGUAAGCUGAUAGGAGUUAUAGAAGCCAUUGAGUAACAACAGAGAAGGGAGGGAGGGCGGAGGGCCAGAGAGGAGCAGAAUCUCCUGUCACCAGCCUCUAGGUUACGUUUACUUACGUUGCACUGGGGCUGCGCAGCUCACUAAAGAACGCUCACCAUCAGCCUCACUCCGAGGGACGCGUCUGGAAGAUCUUCCCUUGGUGCAGCUUGAAGUGUUUUGGCUUUCAUUUCCUCAAGGAUGUGUGUCAUUGAUUUUUGCGUCUGACUCUGAAGAGACAGCUGAGCCCCAAAGAAGCGUCAAGGGCUUAGACUCUGGUGCAUUUUUGAUGAGUCGUUGUUUAAAUCUUGCGGAAGCGCAGCCUCUGAGAUCCCCAGUUUACCAACAGCAUUCCGCAUACAGCGCCAUCUUUUCCUGCCUGGGUUCUGCGGAUGGGGAAAGUCUUUGUUAGCUCUUAAGACGUGUAAUUGGAGGAAGGGAUGAGUGCUAAAGAUCGCAGUCUCAUCCUUCAGUGUCUUUUUUUUAAAGAUUGGCCCUGAGCUAACAUCUGUUGCCAAUCUUCUUUUCUUUUCCUUCUUCUUCUCCCCAAAGCCCCUGACUACAUGGUUGUCUAUUCGAGUCGUAUAUUCUGAUUGUAGGUCCUUCUGGUUAUGCCAUGUGGGACGCCACCUCAGCAUGGCUUGAUAAGUGGUGCUAGCUGGGCCGCCAAAGCGGAGCGCACGAACUUAACCACUUGGCCAUGGGGCCAACCCCAUCCUUCAAUUUCUUUAUGGCCCCACAUAAACAUAAAUGAGAUCCCAUUUUAUAAAAAUAACGUCUUUGCCAGAGUAGAGUUCCGAGGCCGUUUUUAGCUGCGCUGGUCUGACCUCUUGUCUCAAUGCAGGGUAAAUGGACAAAGAACUAGAUUUGGAGCCAGGAGACCUGGUU
ensembl:lncRNA